GAUGAACGCUAGCGGGAGGCCUAACACAUGCAAGCCGAGCGGUAUUGUUUCUUCGGAAAUGAGAGAGCGGCGUACGGGUGCGGAACACGUGUGCAACCUGCCUUUAUCUGGGGGAUAGCCUUUCGAAAGGAAGAUUAAUACUCCAUAACAUAUUGAUUGGCAUCAAUUGAUAUUGAAAGCUCCGGCGGAUAGAGAUGGGCACGCGCAAGAUUAGCUAGUUGGUGAGGUAACGGCUCAUCAAGGCGAUGAUCUUUAGGGGGCCUGAGAGGGUGAUCCCCCACACUGGUACUGAGACACGGACCAGACUCCUACGGGAGGCAGCAGUGAGGAAUAUUGGUCAAUGGGUGCAAGCCUGAACCAGCCAUCCCGCGUGAAGGACGACUGCCCUAUGGGUUGUAAACUUCUUUUGUAUAGGGAUAAACCUACCCUCGUGAGGGUAGCUGAAGGUACUAUACGAAUAAGCACCGGCUAACUCCGUGCCAGCAGCCGCUGUAAUAC
rnacentral:rRNA from 1 species